rnacentral:rRNA from 1 species
GAUGAACGCUGGCGGCGUGCCUAAUACAUGCAAGUCGAGCGAACAGACGAGGAGCUUGCUCCUCUGACGUUAGCGGCGGACGGGUGAGUAACACGUGGAUAACCUACCUAUAAGACUGGGAUAACUUCGGGAAACCGGAGCUAAUACCGGAUAAUAUAUUGAACCGCAUGGUUCAAUAGUUAAAGACGGUUUUGCUGUCACUUAUAGAUUGAUCCGCGCCGCAUUAGCUAGUUGGUAAGGUAACGGCUUACCAAGGCGACGAUGCGUAUCCGACCUGAGAGGGUGAGCGGCCACACUGGAACUGAGACACGGACCAGACGCCUACGGGAGGCAGCAGUAGGGAAUCUUCCGCAAUGGGCGAAAGCAUGACGGAGCAAAGCCGCGUGAGUGAUGAAGGUCUUCGGAUCGUAAAACUCUGUUAUUAGGGAAGAACAAAUGUGUAAGUAACUAUGAACGUCUUGACGGUACCUAAUCAGAAAGCCACGGCUAACUACGUG